rnacentral:rRNA from 1 species
GAUGAACGCUGACAGAAUGCUUAACACAUGCAAGUCUUUGGCGAAGCUGUGCUUGCACAGCCUAGCCAAGGCGGACGGGUGAGUAACGCGUAAGGAACUUGCCCUGCAGUCAGGGAUAACAGACGGAAACGACUGAUAAGACCUGGUAAAGUCAGGCGGACUCAUGUCCAGCCUGAUGAAAAGAGAUGCUGCAGGAGAGCCUUGCGUCCUAUUAUCUUGUUGGUGGGGUAACGGCCCACCAAGGCGAUGAUAGGUAGCCGGCCUGAGAGGGUGGACGGCCACAAGGGGACUGAGAUACGGCCCUUACUCCUACGGGAGGCAGCAGGGGGGAAUAUUGGACAAUGGGGGCAACCCUGAUCCAGCAAUUCUGUGUGCAAGAUGAAGGUUUUCGGAUUGUAAAGUGCUUUCAGCAGGGAAGAAAAAAAUGACGGUACCUGCAGAAGAAGCGACGGCUAAAUACGUG